CUUGUUUAUGCACCCUGCCUAAUCUUUGGUGUAGGGCCUGAACAUAGGCAGUCAUACUACCAUGCUGCAUCUGGAGGGUUUGGGGAAAAUAGAGGCCUGUCUUUGGGGCACAUCCAAACAGGAUCUCAAAAGGGGAUAGGCCAUGUCUGGAAUUGGGGGUGAAUCUCCUAGAAAAGAGUGCUAGGGGAAGGCAUUCAGUCCGGGGCUUCCCUGUGUCUUGCAUGGCUUUUGCAAUCUUGUUCUUUAAGGUGCCAUUUGCCAUUUCUACUUUCCCACUACUCUGGGGGUGAUAGGGGGUGUGGAAGGCCUGACUGAUCCCUAAGGCUUUCAUAAUUUCUUGCAUUAUUUCCCCAGUGAAAUGGCUACCUGUGUCACUUUCAAUCACUUCAGGUACUCCAUAUCUACAUACCAGUUCCUCCAGAAGCUUACUUGCUGUGAUCUUCGUUGUGGUUUUCAACACUGGGUAGGCCUCAGGGCAACCUGAAAAGAGAUCAAUGCACACCAACACAUAUUCAUACAGUCCUACCUUAGGUAGUUGAAUAUAGUCUAUCUGCAGUCUUUGAAACGGGUAAAGUGGCCUUGGUGUGCUUACUUGGUGUUUUGACAGCCUGUCCUGGAUUGUUUCUAGCACAAGUCAUGCAAGCUUGGGUGUGUUUAGCUGCUACAACAGUAAAUCUGGGUGCUACCCAAUGGGUGUUUACUAUGCUGUUCAUGUGCAUCUUGGAUAGAUGUGUAGGUCCAUGGGCAAUCUGGGCCAUCAUGGAGUACAACACUCGUGGCAAACAGUCUUUUACCUUUCCUCCACAUUCUGUCAUUAUCCGGUUCUGCAUCUUGUUUCCUCCAGAGGUCACGUUCUUCCUUUCUUGCCUGUCUUUGUAAGCUCAACAGUAUAUUGUAGUCAACGGCGUCAUCUGUAAGAACAACUUGUAGGAAGAUAUUACCUGUAGAGGCAGGGUGUAUUAGCCGCGAGGCAAACAAGGCAUUUGCCUUGGGCGGCAUUUUUCAGGGGGCGGCAAAACGCCGACCCCCA